rnacentral:tRNA from 1 species
GAGGGGUAGUUUAACUGGAAAAACGCCGGCCGCUGCAAGCCGGAAAUUUAGGUUCGAAUCCUUCCCCUUUG